rnacentral:lncRNA from 1 species
ACUCAGCCAUCCCGGUUACCGGUGGCAGGAUGAUUUCCUUUCAUCCCAAACUUUGUUUCCAUAGUGAAGUCAUCAUGAAGGAGUACUGUGUUGGCAUCCUCGGCUACAGGGUGUCUCAUUCCACUGCAGUCCAGCGGUUCUGGGAUCAUGAAGGUCAAGCCUCCAGCUGCAGGCAGUACACCUCCUACCUGAGCUUAUUCAGCUGUUUGGCUGAACAUGACUGCCUGGGUUUUGGUAGGAUUGCUGACAUGGAGUCUCACUAUGUCAUCCAGGCUGGAGUGAAGGGGCAAAAUCUCGGCUCACUGCAACCUCUCUCUCCAGCUUCACAGGAUUCCCAUGCCUGGUACUCUUGCUCUGUAGACCAGGCUGGAGUGCAGUGGCAGGAUCUCAGCUCAACACAUC